rnacentral:lncRNA from 1 species
CUGCAAGGUUUAAUUUAAACUAGCUUACAUUGGCCUCAUUUUCUUCAUCCUUUAAUAGAAUCCUCUAUAAAACAUGAGCUUCGGUUGCUAUUUAACUUAAUAUGCUGAAGUUUUCUAAACUCACAAAAAAUAUCUAGUUACGCAGAAAUUAGUGAUGCUAUCUGUUGCGAAUCCACACUUUUAAUUGUGUAUCUCUGUUCAUAUUGUUGUUAAAAUAUAACGGAGUGCAGAUGGUGAUAACAAAACUGAUAUUAUCUGACAUAAAUAUGUAUUUGUCAGACAAAUGUGCCAUCUCACUCUGUUUUCUAUGAAACAGGCAUAAACUAUAGAGGUUUUUUAAUGCAAUCAGCAAAUGUUUUUUAGAGUUACUAAUCUCUGAUAGGGAAUCAAAAUACCCCUAUAUUUAUACAAGUGUUCAAUCAGUAUGCUUACAUUUUUCCAAACUGAAUUCAACAAAACUGAGUAGAGUGAUACUUUCCCAGAACUUAGUUUCUGAAACACACACUCCCAUGCAACACGCCCAAAAACCCUAGACGAAAAAAUUGAGUAGGGCCAUAUGUCACCAGAUCUGGGGAUCUUCCUUAUUUCGUAUCUUACAUAAUAAUGGAAAAGAAGAGGGUGGAAAAAAUGUAAAAAAGGGUGUGAGUAAUAAGGUAAGGACUACCUGAGCACCACUGCUUCGUGAAAUACCUCGGGUAAAUGAGGUCCUGGAGAAAAAGAUGUCUUUUCCAUCUCAGAGCCAUCCCCCUUAUCUGGGCUCACAUUUCUCUCCCUCCUUACCUCCUGAGGGACCUGGAGAGAAUAUUCAUCCUCUCUUUCUCUUGGAUCUUGGAUCUUUCCUUUUCCAAGGGCUCCUUCUCUGUGCCUCCAAACAUGCAUGAGUCUUCCUCACUUGGACAACAAAAAUCAUUUCACUUGACCCUUCUAACUCUUGUAAACUGUUAAUAUAGUCCCUUUCACAAACUUCCAUAUGAAUCACUUGCAUUUUAUUCUGAAUGAAAAAUGCUAGUGAGAUUAAGCAACAUUGCAUCUUUUAAUUAAUAUAUUUAACACAGGGAAAAGUAGUCAAAUGUUUAUAUUCAUUAAAGGAGGGUAAUAGCCUAAAACACCUUCCCUUCUUUAAGUGAUUCUUUAAAGAAUGCAACAAGUCUCAAGGCCUCAUAUCACUUAGUUUUCAUUCAAUUUAAAAAUUGUUUGCUCAUUCCUCAUCUCUUCAACAACACGCUUCAUUUUCUUUCAAACAGGAAUGCUCCUGGCUGUCUUCCUACAUUUUGGAGUGCUAUUCAAGGUCACUUACAUUGCUCCUCUUUCUCUAGCUCUAUCUACCUGCAGAUGCCUCCUAAAAUUCACUCUUUUCCUCUAAGCGUUUCCACUUACAGAGAAAUCGUCCACUCACAGAUUCUCAUCACUGAUUCAUUCUGCCAACACUAGAGUGUUUAAUCCAUGCAGAUAUGGUUCUAGGCACUGGGUUCACAAAUAUAAUUCCGGCAGUGUUCUCAUCCUCAAGCAGCUUAGAACUGAGUUGGGAUAUCUGAUAAAAUGAGUAAGAGAUAGUCCAAUGUUUAAACAUAUAAAUACAUACAUACACACACACACACCCCUUUGAUAUCUGAUAGAUGUAAUAUAUCGUAUAUACGUAAGAACAUUUCAGAAAGCAGAAGCAACACGCAGAAGAUUUGAAGGGAAGUGAUAACAUGACAAGAAAUUUCCUAAUUCUCAAUGUGCAAACCAUAUUUCUUACACAAACUUUUUCAUCAUUCCUUAAGGCUCCACUUAUCUGUCUUUUUGCCACAUUAAAUACAACGUAGCUAAGCAUACUCAAAAGCAAUAGUGUCUAAUAGAAAAAGAAUUAAGAUUACAUAACAUUUAAAAACAUUUCCUAUCCAAAAUUUAACAAGUAAAAGGAAUCAGCUAAAAUUAAUUUUAAAACAUUUUAUUUAAGCCAAUAUAUCCAGAAUAUUAUCAUUUCAAUGAGUAAUCAAUAUAAGAUUAUUAAGGGGGGUAUUUUAAGUUCUUUUUUCAAACCAACUCUUUAAAAUCCAGUGUGCAUUUUUCAAUUACAGCAUAUCUCAUUUCACAAGCCACAUUUCAACAGCUCAGGAGUCACAUCUGGUUAGUGGUUACCCUAUCGGCUAGCACAGCACUAAUCAAACUAGAACAGUGUAGUACUGGCGCAUGAAUAAACAGACAAAUGAAUGAAAAGAGAAACAACAAAAAGUACAAAUACGCACCCAAAAAUAAAUGUCAAUUUGCUAUAUUAUUAGAUGGCAUCUCAAAUCAAUGAGAUAGAUGGAGUUUCUAACAAAUGUUUCUGCAACAAAAUAGCACUAUAAGCAUCUAAACUUUGACCCUUACCAGAUAAACUCUAAAUGGAUUAAAGCUGCAAAUGCAAAAGUAAAGUCAUAAGGUCAUUAGAAGAAAAUACAGACAAGAUUCUUCAUAAGCUUAAAGGAGUAUGUUUUCUCUAAUUGACUUAAAAAUCAGAAACCAAGACAACAUUAAGAAGCUAUACCACUUUUUUUUUUUUUAAAGCACCAGAAAUAGUGCAAAAACAAAGGACAAAAUGGGGAAAAAAAAAUAUUAACUGAUGUCAGAAAUAAGGGGACUGAUCUCUUAAUAAAUAAACGGCUUCAAGAAAAGGACCAGAAAUACAGUAAGAAAUUAGGAACCGGUGUGAAAAGACAGACCUCAGUAAGAGGUCUUAAGCAUAUUAAAAUUUCUUACCUAUCAAAGUAACAAAAAUGCUAAAGUAUACUUUGUUGCCAAAACUACAGGAAAACAGUCACUCUCGAAAACUGCUGGUGGGAAUAUAAAGUGGUAGAUGCUUCUGGAAGGUAAUUUAAUAAUACCCAUCAAAAUUGCUAACACUUGAUUCUUUAACCUAUUUCUGGAACUGACUCGGAUACCCUGUCACAUGAACAAAAUGGCAAAUAUACGAGGUUAUCAUCACAGCCUUGCUUGUAGUAGCAUAAAGUUGGAUACAGACCAAAAGUCCUCCAAUAAAGAACUGUUAAACAUAAACUAUGGUAUACAGAGUCAAGGGCAUGCUAUGCAUCUACUAAAAAAGCAAACGAGCAAACAAAAGGAUGACAGUCGCUAUACAGAGACAGGAAAAGCACACUAAAACAUAUUCUAAGUGAAAAUCUCAAAGUGCAGAACACACACGUGUAUAUACAUAUAUAUAUAUAUAUGUAUGCAUAUGAAUCUCCCAAGAGAACCCUCUUUCUCUCCAAAAAUAUUAUGUAUAGGCAUGUGUGUAUAUAUAUAUAGACACACAUUUAUAUGCAUGUGUAUAUAUACACAUUUAUAUGUAAAUCUAUAUGUAUAUAUACACACAUAUAUAAUGUAACCUUUUUAUAAGAGGCAUAAAUAAACACUGGAAGAGUGGGAGAAGGGAAUGGGGCAGAAGAGGAAGGAGUUAGGAUUUUUAUUUCAAACUACGAGAAUGUAUCAUCUAUUCACAAGAUAACAAAAUGUCAGAUAUGUCUGUGCUUGUGUGUGUUUGUGUGUGUAUGCUAGUUUUUGAGAUUAAAAGGAAACAGAACUCAUUUUUGGCAACAAGGAAACGUCUGCUCUAAGCCUUGCUCCUCUGCAAUUUGCUAUGUUCUAUUAUCUCUAACUUUUCCUCUUAAUUCCAUUAAAAUAAAUGAAUAUGGUAGCAUUUAGCACUGUUAUUACAAUGAUGUUACAACAUUUGGGGUGAUUAUAAUGAGAUAAAAUUAAGAACUUUCGAGUAAGUCUGAAGUACAGGAAAAAAUGAGAAGAUUUGAAGUAGAUGGAGGAUAUUUGAAAGAGGUGAUGUGAACAGGGGGAGAGAGUGUUGAUAAAGGAACAAGAGUCUAUUUCUCAAAAAUGUUGAGGGUCCAGUCCAGGUUGGUGACCAUGAAUCUGCCCAGACCAUGUGGUUUUCACCGUAUUUGAGAUGCAGAGAUAAGGUCAUCUGCUGCUGGCUUUGCUAGUCAGAAAAAAAAAGGAGGAAAAUGGAGUAUAAGAUUUGAUUAGAGAUGGGUGACUCAUUUGUACUGGGGAAAAUGAGCUGAAUGGUGGGCACUGGAUCAUCAAAAUCAGAAGUAGCAGAAAAUAAGAAAGGAGAAGGCCAGCGGUGUCACCAAGUGAAUUAACUAUAAAGGUUAGGAUAAAGAAGAAGGUAUGGAAAUUUCUCUUCAAUGACACAUCAAGCAU